rnacentral:lncRNA from 1 species
CUGACUGACAAAUAGAAGUGCACAGAAGAUGGCGAAUGAACGAACAAAACAAAGCCUUAAAAAAAGGUGCUGAUCUGCGUCUACCUGAAGUGGCUACUUGUACACAAAUCCACACCUGCCAGAUCUGCACCAACUCAGAACCGAGGCAGGAGAGAGAAAAUACUGACCCACUUACAGCGUUGGUGCCACCCGACUCCUCAGCCGCCCGGAAGCCGAUCGUCUGCCUUUCCCCACCGCGUCAGCGCCGUGUCCCGAGCUGAAGGCCGGCGAGGAUGGCGCAGGCAGAGCUUGGUUUCACGGACAAGCAGUUCAGAGUCACGUUCGAGGCAAUUUUUCCAGUUAGGAUGGCUGACUCAAAUUUCAGUUUUUCUUUGCUUCUCGGUUUUGAGGUACCAGAUGUGCUAAGCAUAAUAUGACAUAUUGUUAUCUUUAUUUAUUAGUCUCUGAGAAUUAAUUAUCUUUAGCUGAUACGAAGCUCGCCUCUCC